CUUUACUGUAGCCUGGUAUUGGGUUCGGGCUUUGACUGCGCAGGAUAGGUGGGAGACUGAGAAGUGUGCCUUGUGGGGCACAUAGAGUCAACGGUGAGAUACCACUCUGUCAGAGCUAGAAUUCUAACCCGAUGCCGUGAACCGGCUCGGGAACAGUUUCAGGCGGGCAGUUUGACUGGGGCGGUCGCCUCCUAAAAGGUAACGGAGGCGCGCAAAGGUGUUCUCAGGCUGGUUGGAAAUCAGCCGUAGAGUGUAAAGGCAGAAGAACGCUUGACUGUGAGAGUGACAACUCAAGCAGGGUGGAAACACGGCCUUAGUGAUCCGACGGUAUGCGCGUGGAAGUGCCGUCGCUCAACGGAUAAAAGUUA
rnacentral:rRNA from 1 species